AAUAUUAUCACUCCAGGAAGAAAGAGGGAAAAUCUGCUGCACUCGGAAACCAGGCCCGGGCUCCGCAGCCCGGCACCAUAUGGAAGCAGUUCCAGGGAGUUCCCAGAAACCGCUGGAAGGUGAGUCAGCACUGCCCUGCUGAGAGAGCCCAUCUUGCAAAAAAGCCGGAGUCCAGGCUGAGAUCACCACUCCUAGAAGCCCCGGGGUCGCCCAACCUAAGCGUGCCAGAAAAGACCCAGGUUCCUUGCAGAGAAAAACACCUGUGAUUGCUGUGAGCCACCACCCAGAGCCCAGGUGGUGCUGCUUGACCUGAGAGGUGCUUCCACGUGAUGCUUUAUAAAUGCCAGCUUUUUCCAGCCUAAUCUUUGAAAGCAAAGUUCAGAGUCAAGGUCUCUGGCGAGGCUUAGCAUGCUGGCCUUCUGCAUUGCUGGGGGAAACCAGAUGUGCAGGUAGGAAGAUGGCUGCCAUUUGGGGGAUUGCAGCAUUGAAACCAGGGUUCUCCACUGGGCAGAAGGCCACCCCGCCUUCUCUCCGAGGUGGGCAUGGUUCUGCCAGGGACAUAAAGCACUGAAAGUCCAUUGUCGUUAUUGUUUUUCACUCCAGAAAACUUUGAGAACGUGGAGUGGCAAUGGGAACAGAUCUGGGAAAUGAGUUGAAGCAUUUAAGCACCCACUUAACAUUUGACGAUUAAAAGAAAAGAAUAAAAUGAAUUCACAUAAAGAAAGUCUCCCACCGAUGCUUAGAUAAAUCUCAGCUCGAAAGGACUUCUGGUAAAGGGUGUUAAUCAGCUUUUAAAGACUGUUUAACAGAUAUGGCUAAGCAGUUCUAUUCAGCAAAGAGAAAAAGAGGAAAAAAAUGCAUUGAGGUUGAUAAUUGGAACAUUAUACUUUUUUUUUUUUUUU